rnacentral:piRNA from 1 species
UGAUUGGUGAUGAGGAUAUGGAGAUGCA